UACGGGGGGGGCAAGCGUUGUUCGGAAUUACUGGGCGUAAAGGGCUCGUAGGUGGCCAACUAAGUCAGACGUGAAAUCCCUCGGCUUAACCGGGGAACUGCGUCUGAUACUGGAUGGCUUGAGUGUGGGAGAGGGAUGCGGAAUUCCAGGUGUAGCGGUGAAAUGCGCAGAUAUCAGGAAGAACACCCGUGGCUAAGGCGGCUCUCUAGUACGGUACUGACGCUGAGACGCGAAAGCGUGGGGAGCGAACAGG
rnacentral:rRNA from 1 species